AUGCGCUAUUCGCAAUAUUCCGAUACUUUCCAGGAGUUCCCUAAAUUCCUGACUUUCCUGGAUGACUGUAUAUUCUCUAACUUUCCAGGUUUUCUAGACUUUCGAAAACAGAAAAAUAGGGGUCAUCACUACGGCAAGUUGCCCCUCAACCCAAGAUUUGCCUUGUUUGUUGCGAUUCGCAGGUACUGAAAAAUGUAUUUGACAGGUGAGCGAAAUCAGUAAGUAUAUAUCAUUUUUUCUCAGCUUUGUCAUUCCUAAAUACAUUUUGCUUCUCUUACAGACUUUUAAGGUGCACCUCUUGAGUGCCUUGAUAAGCUAUUCCCUUAUUCUGUAAAGCUUUUUUUUUUUUUUAUCAAAUUGUGGAAGACUGCAAUAAAUUUAAAUAUUCAGUCACCAACACACCAACCACUUUCUUAUGGAGCCAUGUGGUAGAAAAUGGAACACUGGACCACUCUUCUGAGGUGUCUUCAAAAAUUAACAUUAAUAAUUGUGCAGCCAGGUUGCGAAUUCAAGAGAUAGUGAGUUCCAGAAAAAAUAAGUCACCAUGAAGGCUUUUUCCUGAAAUCUGACACUAAAUUUUAACUUAAUACCUUGAAAAAUUUCUCUGUUUCAGUUUGGCAAACAUUAAGAAGCAAAAAUCUGGAGCACAAGAUGGACAUCAAUUCUGCAUGAAUGAAAGCUGGGCACUUUUUUUCAACCUCCUUUGGAUAAUGGGCAUGAGGUUUGACAACAAUUCAUUAGAAGAAUGUAAAUCUUAUCAUUCAGAACUUAGGUAUCAAUCUCCAGUUUAAAUUUGAAUAGAACAAAUGGUUGGACUGACAAAGAUAUGAUUAUGAUUUCUCCUGGUGCAAAAUUAGUUUUGAAAUGGAGAUGUUGCAUGUGUGAGGAAUUUGCGAUUUGACCAUUGAUUCUUAUGUAGAAGUUCGCGAGAAACACGAUGGUGCCACUGGUUUUCUCUGAAAUUAUCUCCCAAGCUCAAAAAAAGCUCUCAAAGUGAGGCUAAAAUGGAGGGGAUAUCCCACCCUACCCUGAGAGUCCACCUCUACAUCAAAA
rnacentral:lncRNA from 1 species